GAAUCGCAGACUUCAAGCAGUCAUUGCAUGCAAAGGAUAUGCAACAAAAUACUAAACAUGACUACUUUCAUUCACAUGACAUUGUUGUGUCCCAAACAUUAUGGUGCCCUGAAAUGGGGGCACUAAGUACAAACACUGCUGUAGUUUCUACAUGGUGAAUGUAAAAUGUGUA